AUGAUGUAUAUUAUCUUAACAAUCCUUCAUUCGCCGGUUCAAACAGUAUACUGCUAUAAAAAACAUUGUCUAUUUCGAUUACUAAGCUUCAUCCUGAUAAUGAUGACAAGGGUCAGUAAUUCAUUUGCUCUUGCGCUCAUUGUUGUAGUCAUCAAUCAGUCUCUCAACAUCCUUCCAGAACAGGCCCUCCACAAGAACACCUUCCUUCGUAAACCUGCCCAAGAAGGCAAGAACACUGUAAGUAAUGGAGAUAAAAAAAGAAUAAUUAUGACACCAACAAAAGACAAACAUUUCACAACUAUGUACACACCCUUAAGCUUGUGUAUUUUGCCAAGUCACGUGCAAUGA
rnacentral:rRNA from 1 species